AUAGUCCUAGUCCAGCUGAUCUGGAUUCCUCUGGACUGAAUGGUUGUAAUUGUGUAGCAAGAAAAGCCGGAAGUUUGAAACUAGCUGGUAAUAUAGAGGAUAGCUCUAAGAAUGACGUACAGAAAGCUGUAUAUGAAGCUGUUGUAAGAGCUAACCCAGAUAUUUCCCCAAAUGAUUUAUCAGUAGAAAUAUUGAGUUUACAAAGCGGCAUAAAAGAUGCAAACAAGAAUGAGUUAUCAGAUGUUAGUUAUGCUAUAACAAGACAAGAUGGUGGUGACAUAGAAGAUGUUAAUUAUCCUACAUCAGCCCAACUAGAUGAAGCAUUAAAGAACAAUGGUCUAGCUCUAUAUGAUAAACAAAAGAAACUAAAUGAGGAUAAUGAUGAUUGGAAGAUUUAUGUUGCUAUAGCUGCUGGUAUUUUAGCUGCUAUAAUAAUAAUCUGUAUUGUGGUGUAUGUUGUUAUACAUAAAAGGAAACAAAAGAAAAUGAGUUUAAAGAAACAGGAAGAAGACGUAGCCAAUGAUAUUUAUGAUCCAGAGAAUUUCAGUAAUGCAGCUGCUUUUACAAAUAAAGCGUACGAAACCCAGGAAGCCAAAAUAGAUUUCAAAGAAUAAGUGUAAUGUCAUGAACAUCAAUCAAAAUCAUCAUAGAAGAUAUUUCAUUGUGUUUUAUAAUAACUGAAAGUUGAACUUUGCAAUACAUAACACAGUUCUUUGUGAAAACGCGUGAUUUAAUCUUCCCACUAGGAAUGCGUAGCCUUGCCUUUUCUGCUUCAAUCACUUAAUGUGCAGUAAUUGUUGACGUCAGAC